rnacentral:rRNA from 1 species
GUGAGGAAUUUUGCGCAAUGGGGGCAACCCUGACGCAGCGACGCCGCGUGGAGGACGAAGUCUUUCGGGAUGUAAACUCCUGUCAGUGGGGACGAUAAUGACGGUACCCACAGAGGAAGCACCGGCUAACUCCGUGCCAGCAGCCGCGGUAAGACGGAGGGUGCAAGCGUUGUUCGGAAUUACUGGGCGUAAAGCGUACGUAGGCGGCAAGUUAAGUUCAAUGUUAAAGCCCACGGCUCAACCGAGGAGAUGCAUUGAAUACUGGCUAGCUAGAGGGUGUUAGAGGAAGACGGAAUUCCCAGUGUAGCGGUGAACUGCGUAGAUAUUGGGAGGAACAUCGGUAGCGAAAGCGGUCUUCUGGGACAUACCUGACGCUGAGGUACGAAAGCGUGGGGAGCAAACGGGAUUAGAUACCCGAGUAGUCC